UGGGGAAUAUUGCACAAUGGGCGCAAGCCUGAUGCAGCCAUGCCGCGUGUGUGAAGAAGGCCUUCGGGUUGUAAAGCACUUUCAGCGGGGAGGAAGGCGAUAAGGUUAAUAACCUUGUCGAUUGACGUUACCCGCAGAAGAAGCACCGGCUAACUCCGUGCCAGCAGCCGCGGUAAUACGGAGGGUGCAAGCGUUAAUCGGAAUUACUGGGCGUAAAGCGCACGCAGGCGGUCUGUCAAGUCGGAUGUGAAAUCCCCGGGCUCAACCUGGGAACUGCAUUCGAAACUGGCAGGCUAGAGGCUUGUAGAGGGGGGUAGAAUUCCAGGUGUAGCGGUGAAAUGCGUAGAGAUCUGGAGGAAUACCGGUGGCGAAGGCGGCCCCCUGGACAAAGACUGACGCUCAGGUGCGAAAGCGUGGGGAGCAAACAGG
rnacentral:rRNA from 1 species